UGCCAUUGCUAAGUCAAGGCUUCUUCCCGUGCAUAUUAAUUUUGCCACUUUUAUCAAUGGAAGUAUUUUGUCUGUUACAGCUUUGGUAGAUUGAUUCUUGCCCGCCGCCCUGGUUUCUUUCUGAAAUUGGGGUUGACCAGCAAUCGUUUUGAGAGCUCGGUCGUAUAGGGCUUGCUGUGUCUUGUUUUGAGUUGAGUUCUGCUUCCGCUUCACCUGUGGCAUCAUAGCAGUUCUCUUAGUAACAUCUCACACAUUC
rnacentral:snoRNA from 1 species